UACGUAGGGCGCAAGCGUUGUCCGGAAUUAUUGGGCGUAAAGAGCUCGUAGGCGGCCUGUUGCGUCCGCUGUGAAAUCCCGGGGCUUAACCCCGGGCUUGCAGUGGAUACGGGCAGGCUGGAGGCAGGCAGGGGGAGAACGGAAUUCCCGGUGUAGCGGUGAAAUGCGCAGAUAUCGGGAGGAACACCGGUGGCGAAGGCGGUUCUCUGGGCCUGUACUGACGCUGAGGAGCGAAAGCGUGGGGAGCGAACAGG
rnacentral:rRNA from 1 species